rnacentral:misc_RNA from 1 species
GGGUGGAUUGAUCAGGCAAGAGCUUGCCAAGCUGAAGAAAGAGAAUCCGGCCUAAAAGUUCUCAAUUCAAGUUGUCAAUUUUGUUAUCAAUAUUUCUCAAGUUAUUUUGGAAUGUUAUCCAUUUGGUUUCCUAUUCACUUAAGAGAUUGAUUACAGUGCAAGGGAACUUUCUAUGUAUGACCUUUUUGUAGUGAGUUUUAUUGUUCAACUUUAACUUUGACAGUAUUCUUAUGCUUUCUAAUUUUUAUGUUGAUUUUAUCGAGUAUUUAUCUUCUUCGGGCGCAUGUGAAAUCUGCAAUGCGUAGAGUAUUUCUGCUUGUCAGAUUAUUAAUUAGUAUUGUGGUGCAUUUUCUCUUGCUGUGCUUCAUCUUUAAAAUGAUUGAUACCCCGUGUUAGGAAUUUGCUUCACCAACUCUUGUAAAUGGUGUAACAAGUGCACGAAUUGAAGUACAAGUUAAAGCAGAAUAUUGUCAUGAGUAGAGUUUCUCGGGAAGAGGAUGCAUCAUUUGUUCAAUGUUUAUAUGAGCAGUGGUUAUUCAAUGUAAAAUUUUUGGAGUAUUCUAGUGGUUAUUUGUGUAGCAUAAAAUGCAAGCAUCCAAGGGAAGAAGUAGAAUGCUAUUAUAUAUGAAUACUCUGAAAUAGGACUUUUGUAGUUUAUGUUUAAAUUUUGUGUGAG